rnacentral:lncRNA from 1 species
UGAAAUUGACAAACCAAGAUACCGAACAAGAAAGGGUCGAGUCGCAACUAAUGUGUUAGGUGUGUGUUCAGGAUAUAUGCAGUUCAUAUAUGUGUUUCCGGGGUGGGAGGGUUCCGCAUCAGACUCUAGAGUGUUACAUGAUGCAAUUAGUAGGCCUAAUGGUUUUAAGGUACCAGCGGGUAAGACUAUUACUUAGUCUCAACUUUGUAAGUUAGGUUUAGUUCUGUUUGUCAACUACAAAACACUAAUAAGGUCUGUUUUUUUUUUCAUUAGGUUGUUAUUACCUUGUAGAUGGUGGUUAUACAAAUGGUGA